UUAGUUGGUAGAGUGCUAGCUUAGCACACA
rnacentral:piRNA from 1 species